rnacentral:tRNA from 1 species
GGAGAGGUGGCCGAGUGGUUGAAGGCAGCAGCUUGCUAAGCUGUCGUGGGGGUAACUCCACCCAGGGUUCGAAUCCCUGCCUCUCCGCCA